rnacentral:rRNA from 1 species
CCUACGGGUGGCAGCAGUGGGGAAUAUUGCACAAUGGGGGGAACCCUGAUGCAGCAACGCCGCGUGGGUGAAGAAGUACUCCGGUAUGUAAAGCCCUGUCAGCAGGGAAGAAAAUGACGGUACCUGACCAAGAAGCCCCGGCUAACUACGUGCCAGCAGCCGCGGUAAUACGUAGGGGGCAAGCGUUAUCCGGAUUUACUGGGUGUAAAGGGAGCGUAGACGGCAAGGCAAGUCUGGAGUGAAAGCCCGGGGCCCAACCACGGGACUGCUUUGGAAACUGUGUUGCUGGAGUGCAGGAGGGGUAAGCGGAAUGCGUAGUGUAGCGGUGAAAUGCGUAGAUAUUAGGAGGAACACCGGUGGCGAAGGCGGCUUACUGGACUGUAACUGACGUUGAGGCUCGAAGGCGUGGGGAGCAAACAGGAUUAGAUACCCUUGUAGUC